rnacentral:lncRNA from 1 species
GGGGCAGAACGCUCGCUUUGGCUGCGGGAGUGAGUGUGAGUGUGAGAGCAAGAACAGCCCGCAGGUCCCGAGGCGCUUGCAGGGGACUCUGCCGCGGAAAGUUCCCAGUCCCCAGCCGCAGAAGCUUUUUAUUUUUGGUUGAUUCCUGCUGUCUACUCCUCUUGGAUGCCUUUGUGAAACUGCUUCUAUCUGAGAAGGAGGAGUUGCCAUUUAGCAAGUAGUAGGUGGUACCGUGUGUGGCAGAGUCCGAUGUGUUACACCACGAGGACAUUCAUCUUUGCAAUUGGUGAAGUCCUUCUACCUAGUUCCCCUUCCUUGUGCACAGAAGAGGACUGGAAAACUCCUCACAGGACUGCAUACUGCUAUCUCUGAGAAACCAGAAAGAAGAAAGUACCUCUUCCUUCCAAGCUUCUACCUAAGAGUAUACUGGAAGGUUUACCUAGAGCAACAAGACAACGAAAUGGAUUGUCCUUCUCACGCUAGUCCACACACAAUCCUCAUCAUUUUGAUAAGAUAGCAUGAAGUCUCUUAUCGCUUGUGGAUCCAGCACUUUGGUUCAGAAAUGAGACAGUCAUCAUCUUCAAGGUGAAGAAAUACAGUUUGUCCCUUCCUCUCAAAAUGAAGAAAGCUACAUUCAUGUAUAUGUAUCUGGACUUCAUUAAUUUGUUUCUAUUUCCAUUUUGUUACCUCUCUGAGACAAGUAUGAAGCUUGUCUCUAAAAUUAUAGUUAUGUACUAUUACUCAUUUGAAAUGAUAAUAAUUACUCAUUAAUAAAUACUAAAAUAUUUGAAACCACAAAGCAUUUAAAUUCCUCAUAAGGGGCUAUAGAUGGAAUUAUAAGAGAAAAUACCCUUAAGGUGAUUCCCCAUGACGAUGAAUUAUUCCUGGAGAAUUUGCAACCCUACUGUGACCAUUAGUAUCUGCUGGAUUUCCCUGCUCUAAGAGGCUAAUGUAUCUGACCAACUAAUCAGAGGAACCAUGAGAGCAGAUGAUGCCUGAACCUUCAUUACUUGUCUUUCCUGCUUCUGUAAUUUUGAUGCUUUGUUAUUUUCUGUCUCUGUGCUCAAACACUGAUUGGUUAUUCAAACCAAUGACAAGCUGAAGAAUUGGACAGUCUUCCAGGUUCAUCUGCCCAUAAUUCUCUAAGAUUUGGAGCUGUUGAGGAGUGGCUCAUAGUAGACACUGAACCAUCAGCCAACAGCAUUUGUUGUCCUGGAUGUCUGUGCCAACCUUUCGAGUCACACUGGGGUCUAAAGACACACCUGGAAUAAAAAUCAGAAUGCUUAAGAAACUUAAUAUGAUCUGCGGGAGAAUACAUGAGGUUUUUGUUUCAUACCACAGUCUGAUGACAGCAUGGAUUUCAACUGAUGAUGUUCACCUUUGCCUCUUGGGUCAAUAUGUGAGCUCAGAGAUUUCCCUGCUUUUGUUCUGUCAUUAUGGAUUCUAAACUUCUGAAACUACAUACUCAAUUAAAUGUUUUCUUUUAUAAAUUA